GAGAGAGAGAGGUUAGUAUCAUCACUACAACUGUUCUUUAUUCUAAUUACUGAACAUUCACUCGCCAUGUAAAUUAGUUUGUUAUAAUAUCAGUUCGUGCCCCAUCAAGCCCUCAAUGUAAUUUUUUCAUAGCUCUAUAUAGACACUAUGCAUCAGUAAAAUGUCUCAAUGACCAUGGCUACAUGGGGCCCAUAUCUCUGUGGCUCUAUCCCUGAGCCUCCUCUGUCUGUGGUACACACAGGGACAAAAGACAGAGGAAUAGACAACCAUGUCUCACAGCCAGCAUCUCUGCAAGAAAGCUCCUUAGCGUGUCGUCGCCUCUCCCCCCCUCAGACACACACACACACACACAGUCACACACACACAGCUUCUUUGCAUACUAGGCAUACAGUAAGUAAGACCAAAACAUCCGAUCCCACACAACUACAAACCACACACAAAUGUAUCUGUGCAUAUUAUCUGGUUUUGAAACAAGAGGAGAUGUUCAGGUUCUUCCCCAAAUCUGUCCACUGGUCCGGUUACAAGGAAACGUUCAGGUUCUUCCCCAAAUCUGUCCACUGGUCCGGUUACAAGGAAACGUUCAGGUUCUUCCCCAAAUCUGUCCACUGGUCCGGUUACAAGGAAACGUUCAGGUUCUUCCCCCAACAUGUUUAGUGGAAUGUAAUAGAGUGUAAUACUAAUAUGACAAGCAAGGGGAUAACCCUAAUGAAUAGCUGUUCCUGGUAAUCUGUUGCUUUUUAAAAACUGGAUGGAAAAAUUAUGAAUGCAUAUCUGAUGCAAUAUAACAACACACAGUACAGUAUAACAACACACAGUACAGUACAAUAUAACAACACAGUACAGUAUAACAACACACAGUACAGUAUAACAACACACAGUACAGUAUAACAACACACAGUACAAUAUAACAACACACAGUACAGUACAAUAUAACAACACACAGUACAGUAUAACAACACACAGUACAGUACAAUAUAACAACACACAGUACAGUAUAACAACACACAGUACAGUACAAUAUAACA